rnacentral:rRNA from 1 species
CCUACGGGAGGCAGCAGUGGGGAAUAUUGCACAAUGGGGGAAACCCUGCUGCAGCGACGCCGCGUGAGCGAUGAAGUAUUUCGGUAUGUAAAGCUCUAUCAGCAGGGAAGAAGAUGACGGUACCUGAGUAAGAAGCCCCGGCUAACUACGUGCCAGCAGCCGCGGUAAUACGUAGGGGGCAAGCGUUAUCCGGAUUUACUGGGUGUAAAGGGAGCGUAGACGGCAGUGCAAGUCUGGAGUGAAAGGCGGGGGCUCAACCCCCGGACUGCUCUGGAAACUGUACGGCUGGAGUGCAGGAGAGGUAAGUGGAAUUCCUAGUGUAGCGGUGAAAUGCGUAGAUAUUAGGAGGAACACCAGUGGCGAAGGCGGCUUACUGGACUGUAACUGACGUUGAGGCUCGAAAGCGUGGGGAGUAAACAGGAUUAGAUACCCGGGUAGUC